GCCGAAUGUGUGCUCGUGGGUCCUGCCCUC
rnacentral:piRNA from 1 species